rnacentral:rRNA from 1 species
UAGGGAAUCUUCGGCAAUGGGGGCAACCCUGACCGAGCAACGCCGCGUGAGUGAAGAAGGUUUUCGGAUCGUAAAGCUCUGUUGUAAAAGAAGAACGAGUGUGAGAGUGGAAAGUUCACACUGUGACGGUAACUUACCAGAAAGGGACGGCUAACUACGUGCCAGCAGCCGCGGUAAUACGUAGGUCCCGAGCGUUGUCCGGAUUUAUUGGGCGUAAGGCGAGCGCAGGCGGUUAGAAAAGUCUGAAGUGAAAGGCAGUGGCUCAACCAUUGUAGGCUUUGGAAACUGUUUAACUUGAGUGCAGAAGGGGAGAGUGGAAUUCCAUGUGUAGCGGUGAAAUGCGUAGAUAUAUGGAGGAACACCGGUGGCGAAAGCGGCUCUCUGGUCUGUAACUGACGCUGAGGCUCGAAAGCGUGGGGAGCGAACAGGAUUAGAUACCCUGGUAGUCCACGCCGUAAACGAUGAGUGCUAGGUGUUAGGUCCUUUCCGGGACUUAGUGCCGCAGCUAACGCAUUAAGCACUCCGCCUGGGGAGUACGACCGCAAGGUUG